UAUGCAGAAGGAGACCUUUGUUUAUGAGUGAGGAGUUUCAAUAAGGUCCCAAGGAGAUUUGCCCUGUGAGUUUGGUGAACUCAGGAACCAAGUGUCAUAUGCUUCUAUGAACAUGCUUCUUGAUAUCUGCUCAGUUCUGCUGUUCCUCUUAAUGCUCAAGAGGAGCAAUGGAGACUCAGUGACCCAGACAGAAGGUCUUGUUACUUCUACAGAAGGGUUUCCUGUGAAGCUGAACUGCACCUAUGAGACCACUUAUGGAAGAACACCUUACCUUUACUGGUAUGUGCAAUACCCGAAGAAAGCCCCUCAGCUACUCCUGUGGAGCACCACAGACAACAAGAGGACAGAGCACCAAGGGUUCCAUGCCACUCUACAUAAGAGCAACAGCUCCUUCCACCUGCAAAAGUCCUCAGUGCAGCUGUCUGACUUUGCCCUGUACUACUGUGCUCUGAGUGACACAGUGAGGGAGACUGCAGGGGAAGCUGCACACAAACCAAGGGUGUAG